AGCAACAACAACAACAAAAAAGACAAAAAAAAAGAUGUAAAUCCAAGCACUGCACAAUUAACUACUGCUUUCUACACUGUACUAGAAAUUACCUCUCUGACACACUUCUUGGAUUCAGAGAAACAAAGGCUCAAGUUUUUAUUUAGUAAAAAAAAAUUUAAUUUCUCAGUUUAGCAAGUGUACAAGAUAAAGAUUAUGCCAAGGCCUAAAACAGCGUGUACAGAACGACGUCUGUAUUGAGUGCCUAUGUGUAUCUCUAGGUGUGUGUUUAACCAAAGGUUUUAUUUUUUAAAAAAGAUAGCUUGCUUCUACCUGUAAACUAGCUCUUUGACAUUAUAUAAUCAAAGGAAAUACAUUGAAAUAUAUCUUUUUAAUUUAUACAAUUUUAAGAUAGUGGACUUUGUAUGUUUUGCUAAACUAAAAUAAACCAAUCUGUAAAGUUGUUUUUAAGUUAGUAAACUCAGAAUGAUAAUUCUCUUCAGCUUUUCAAAAAUUCUCUUUAUUUGCUUCUUUUAAUUCCUUAUGCAUCUUGAUUAAGUCAGGAAGAAAGGGAAGGUCAGAAUUUGAUAAUCUCUGACUUCCAACAAACUCUUAAGAUGUUACAUAUUCCAAAUCAAAUGUGUACCAAGACACCAGAAACUCACAGUAACUUGAUUGUUGUUCUAUCAAAUCCAAGAAUUCCUUCAUGACUGGACAGCUCAAGUGUUACCUACUCCAGGAAGCCUUCCUUGUUCUCAAUCUGCUGCAUGUACUUUUUGUUCUCUUUAUUUUUAUGCAGUGCACUGUAUGCACUUCCUUCAUAGCAUAAAACAUAUUAUUUCAUAAUUAUCCAUUUGUAUGUCUGUGCCUCCCUAAACCCAGAACUCCUCUGGGAACAGACAGGGUCUGUUUAGCAAGUAACCCCACUGCCUAAAGCAGCUGUUAACUUGCAAGAGUAGAUGUCACUGUAUGUUUGGAGAGUGAAUAAACGAAUGAGUGGCAUUUAUGAUACUGGCCGUCCAGCUUAACACAGGACAAGGUGUGCUGUCUCACUGCCUGAGGCCCCAGGAUCCCAGCUUUCCCACAAGUAACAAGUUAGUCCAAAAGGCUCAAGGUGAAUUUGGAUUUCUUGAAAGAUCCUGCAGCGUGGGAAUCACCUCCGACCUGGAGGAGUGCCUUUUAGGGAUCCCAUUUCUAAUUAUUCUAAAAUUGGUUUGUUGCUAAGUGUUGAGACUGGUUUCAUGCUAAUUUCUUUGUUCCUACCUGAUUUCACCAGAGUCAAUAUUCUUAAACAAAGCAGAAAGGUAGGUAGAAACACACAGGGAGAUGGGGACAGUGCUGGGUGUAUGAGGAUUGCAAUGGCCUUCCCUACCAACAAAGUGAAAGCAAGGAAUGUAAGGCAUAUAUUUUAAGGAGCAGAAACACAAAUUUUCAAAGGGCUUUUCUAAUCACAGAGGAGAGUCUUUUUGUUAUUAGUGGGGUAUUUUCCUUAUAGUCCAUUGUCCAUGCUAGUUCAGAGUAAUGAAAGUUCUCUAGCAUUUGCGCUACCUCAUGGACAUCUAAGCUCAACCAUCCUUCUAACAAUAGGGGUUUUCUUUAAGGGCACCAAGAUAAUGUUAAGUUUCACUGUGCAGAAGGAAACCCUCUCACAAAUCUCUUCAUGUUGGAGUCACAGCUUCUUCCCUGCCUGAGGCUCUGUGUUCCGUUAGCUUUACCUUCCUCAAGGGAGGGCCAUGAUUUCAGAACUUCCCUUCAGCACUGAAAACGAGUCCUGUGAGAUUUCACUUUACACCAUCUGGAGGAUCAAGUCUAACCAGAUAUUUCUUCUGUCUUCAGCUUCUAAGCUGAAGCCAGUACUAGUGGGACUCAAGUCUGGCAAACAAGGAGCCGACCACAUGAUGGCAUCAGUGGGGAAGCAAAGGCCGCAGUGAGGGACAGGGCUUCUGAGCACUGGUUCCGAGGAGGAGAGGCAGGAGGUGACUGAGACAGGAACUGAAGAGCAACCACAGCAUGGACAAGUCGUUUUCAAGAUCAUACAGGUGCUUAAUAGUUACACAGGGCCACUCAGACCUAGAAUGAGGACUACAAAUUAGCAAACAAAGAGACCCAAGUCCUUUUAAUGACACUGGGAGGUAGUACAGCCCGCAGGGUGCACAGCAGCCCAGGAAGCUGGGCCUUAGAGGUGGGUGAGAUGGCCCUUUCACUCCUGCCUGGGGAGCCAGUCUCCUGGCUGAAACCAACUGCCCCAGCCACACAGCACAUGGAGGGCUAAUCUGAGCACUGGUGUGGCUCUACUGUAGUUUAAACUCUACAACAUGGUGGUCUGACGCUCUGGUCUUCAUUUCUGGAACUGCUCUGUUUUAGAACAAUACACAGAAUACCCUCUAGGGAAAACAACUGGUUAUCACCGAGUGUUACUUCCCCAAAAGGGCCUUUCUUAACCACCAACCCAGAGAGGACUCUCAAAUCACUCCCCCUUUCAUUUUUAUUAUAGCACUUAUGGUUCCCUGUCUGUUUUUAAUUGACUGCUUUUCCAGCUAUGUAAAAGCAAUAAAGAGCAAGAACCUCCGAGCCUCAUUUGAUGCUGAAUUUCCAGGUCUCACGGAGCUAGCUGGCAUUUAUAAAGUGCUCAAUAAAUGCUGAGUAAUGACUAAACAACUACUACACAUAUAGAAGUUUCUGAAUUUUUAAAACAAAGAAAGGGGUGGGGAAACAGUAGGGAGAGUUUCACUCCUAAUUUGCUGAAAUCUUUAUGAAUGCAAAUCUGAGCUCCUCUCCGCUUAGUAAUUCUUAUCAAAUGACUGCCAGUGUGGCUCUCUAAAAUAGGAUAGUGUGGAGGACAGAACUUCAAAGGCUGCAUGACUGAUCAAGCAACGAGACGGGAGAGGAACACUGGAGACUCUGAUUAAGUGCAGCCCAGCCUACUGGAGUCUCACUGGCCGCUGCAAAUCCCUCUGGAGGCAACACAGAGGAUGAACUGGCAGAAAGGAAGCCUGGAGGCAGGAAAAUUAUCCAAAGGCAGGAAAAUAAUCCAGAUGGAAAGUCCGAGCACCUGCGCUGGGGCUGUGAGACUGCUGCAUGAGAGCAAAGACUCGAGACAGACCCAAACUACAGAGCUGAUGGGACUGGGAUGCAAAUUCCUUGAGAGUAGAGAGCUUCAAAGGGAGCGCCUCGGAGAAGAACUGUCACUGUGUGGACACACUGAAUUCAAGGCCAGCAAAGACCGAGGCAAUUUACAAAGCUAGGUUCCCACCAAGGCUGGUGGUCAUGUCAAAAAUGAAAUGAAGUAAAAUAAAUAUUACCUAUAAA